GACGUAGGGCGCGAGCGUUGUCCGGAUUUAUUGGGCGUAAAGAGCUCGUAGGCGGCUUGUCGCGUCGAAUGUGAAAUCUCAGGGCUCAACUCUGACAUUGCAUUCGAUACGGGCAGGCUAGAGUUCGGUAGGGGAGACUGGAAUUCCUGGUGUAGCGGUGAAAUGCGUAGAUAUACGGAGGAAUACCUGAGGCGAAGGCGGGUUGCUGGGCCAACACUGACGCUGAGGCGCGAAAGCCAGGGGAGCAAACGGG
rnacentral:rRNA from 1 species